AUUGAACGCUGGCGGCAGGCCUAACACAUGCAAGUCGAACGAGUCGCGGACGGGUGAGUAAUGUCUGGGAAACCGCCUGAUGGAGGGAGAUAACUACUGGAAACGGUAGCUAAUACCGUAUACCAUCAGAUGUGCCCAGAUGGGUAUAGCUUGUUGGUGGGGUAACGGCUCACCAAGGCGACGAUCCCUAGCUGGUCUGAGAGGAUGAGCAGUCACACUGGAACUGAGACACGGUCCAGACUCCUACGGGAGGCAGCAGUGGGGAAUAUUGGACAAUGGGCGCAAGCCUGAUGCAGCCAUGCCGCGUGUGUGAAGAAGGUCUUCGGAUUGUAAAGCACUUUCAGUUGGGAGGCGUUACCAACAGAAUAAGCACCGGCUAACUCCGUGCCAGCAGCCGCGGUAAUUC
rnacentral:rRNA from 1 species